rnacentral:rRNA from 1 species
AGAUGGGCUCGCGUCUGAUUAGCUAGUUGGUGAGGUAACGGCUCACCAAGGCGACGAUGCGUAGCCGACCUGGGAGGGUGAUCGGCCACACUGGGACUGAGACACGGCCCAGACUCCUACGGGAGGCAGCAGUAGGGAAUCUUCCGCAAUGGACGAAAGUCUGACGGAGCAACGCCGCGUGAGUGAUGAAGGUUUUCGGAUCGUAAAACUCUGUUGUUAGGGAAGAACAAGUACGAGAGUAACUGCUCGUACCUUGACGGUACCUAACCAGAAAGCCACGGCUAACUACGUGCCAGCAGCCGCGGUAAUACGUAGGUGGCAAGCGUUGUCCGGAAUUAUUGGGCGUAGAGCGCGCGCAGGCGGUCUCUUAAGUCUGAUGUGAAAGCCCACGGCUCAACCGUGGAGGGUCAUUGGAAACUGGGAGACUUGAGUGCAGAAGAGAAGAGUGGAAUUCCACGUGUAGCGGUGAAAUGCGUAGAGAUGUGGAGGAACACCAGUUGGCGAAGGCGACUCUUUUGGUCUGUAACUGACGCUGAGGCGCGAAAGCGUGGGGAGCAAACAGGAUUAGAUACCCCUGGUAGUCCACGCCGUAAACGAUGAGUGCUAAGUGUUAAAAGGGUUUCCGCCCCUUUAGUGCUGCAGCAAACGCAUUAAGCACUCCGCCCUGGGGGAGUACCGGCCGCAAGGCUGAAA